CACGAGAUAACCAAUAGCCCAAGGUUUGAGUAGGUAACUUGGUUAGAAGCACAAGUUUCAAUAGACAAUAAAAAGUAACUAACUAAAUUAUGUAAAUACUUAAUGGACAAGAAAACAACUAAACCAUACAGGCCACCCCACUAAAAUAUACAAUCAUUCUCCACCGCAUAACUACAGGCCUCCAUAAUAAAAUUUCAAAUAUCAAAAAAUAAAAAAAAAAAGUGCUAAUUCCACGAAUCCAGUGUUGGAAAGCUAGAACAAGUCUCAUAGUCUAGCCCAGGACCAGGCCCUCCAUCAGUUACCGCGGCUUGUGGAAAAGAAACUGUCCCCGACCCACUAACAGGCCCGGAAAUCACGCCCGAGCCAACAACCAUUUGCUGUUGAUGAUGGUGAUCCAGCAAAAACGCCGACGUAUCUAGGGUCGGCAAACACCCUCCAGGGCCAUGCAACCGGCUACCAGGUCUCUGUGGCUCCGGCUUCAGCACUGGUACGGCGGAAAACUGAGCGUUACCGAAUCUAACACCGGUCACCUGUUGCACCAUCUGCCUAAAGUUGGCCGGAUCCGCUGUUAUGAACGUAGUCUGAGAGCGCCUAGACGAACGAGACUUACGUUUCGAAACUUUUGCGGUAGCACCUGGGAUACCGAUCCCGUUUCGGUAGCGCUUGGGAGCUGGCGUUUCAGGGUCAGAGCCAGAAACGUUAGAGGCGGUAGGAGUAGGCGGCGGUGGUGUUUGGGAACUGGAAACGAGGUUGAAUAUGGAAUCGGAAGAAAGGGUUUCAGAUAUGGAGAAGGAAGAAGAAGAGUUAAUAUUAUUAGAAAAUGAUUUCUUGAGGGCUUUAGUUAGCGUCUCGUUAUCACGAGCAUAAGCUUCAGAAAUCCAUGAGUCAGUAAAGGAAGGUCUAAAGAAGAAAGGUUCAAAACUCUCAGAUGAAGCCAUGCUUUGAAAGCAAAAAUAACAAGGUGAUAUCUCAAAGCAUUUUGUGAAGCUGAAUAAAGUUGACUCAGAAGAAAGAUGGGAGGGAGUAAGAGAGAAGAUAAGGGGAGACUAAAUAGGGCGGUGAAGGGGUAGAGAAACCGCGUUGUUAAAGGAAAGGAAGAACACGCGUCAGCGGUACGGAGAUUAAGGAAUUUGUUUAACUUGAUAAAUCACUGUUCUUUGUACAGUGUGAUCUCUAUAAUGCCCCUGCCUUGUUAUUAUUAUGAGUGGCGUCAGUCAGACUCACAAGUGAAGCGAGCCCUUUGAGCCUUGAAGAUCAAGCCGCGUUGCUCGCUGUCUCCACGCGUCCCAUAUCAUCCUCACUUCAUCCUAUGCG
rnacentral:misc_RNA from 1 species